UCCUCGGUGGCUCAGAUGGAUAGAGCGUCUGCCAUGUAAGCAGAAGAUCCCGGGUUCGAGUCCCGGUCGGGGCA
rnacentral:tRNA from 1 species